rnacentral:tRNA from 1 species
GCGGCAGUAGCUCAGUCGGUAGAGCAUCAGCUUCCCAAGCUGAGGGUCACGGGUUCGAACCCCGCCUGCCGCU